rnacentral:rRNA from 1 species
AACGAGGAGCAACAAGCGGACGGGUGAGUAAUGACUGGGAAACUGCCCGAUGGAGGGGGAUAACUACUGGAAACGGUAGCUAAUACCGCAUAACGUCUUCGGACCAAAGUGGGGGACCUUCGGGCCUCACACCAUCGGAUGUGCCCAGAUGGGAUUAGCUAGUAGGUGGGGUAAUGGCUCACCUAGGCGACCAUCCCUAGCUGGUCUGAGAGGAUGACCAGCCACACUGGAACUGA